rnacentral:rRNA from 1 species
UACGUAGGGUGCAAGCGUUGUCCGGAAUUAUUGGGCGUAAAGAGCUCGUAGGCGGUCUGUCACGUCGGCUGUGAAAACUCGGGGCUCAACCCCGAGCCUGCAGUCGGAUACGGGCAGACUAGAGGUCCGGCAGGGGAGACUGGAAUUCCUGGUGUAGCGGUGGAAUGCGCAGAUAUCAGGAGGAACACCGAUGGCGAAGGCAGAUCUCUGGGCCGUUACUGACGCUGGAGGAGCGAAAGCCGUGGGGAGCGAACAGG